rnacentral:rRNA from 1 species
UCUGUCUGUGGUACAGUUGGCGAGGUAAUCGAGGGGGUGCUGGCGUUAAUGCGAUUUACUGGUCGUAAAGCGCGCGUAGGUGGGUAAUUAAGUCAAAUGUGAAAUCCCCGAGCUUAACUUUUGAAUUGCAUUCGAGACUGGUUAGCUAGAGUAUGGGAGAGGAUGGGAGAAUUCCAGGUGUAGCGGUGAAAGGCGUAGAGAUCUGGAGGAAUACCGAUGGCGAAGGCAGCCAGCUGGCCUAAUACUGACACUGAGGUGCGAAAGCAUGGGGAGCAAACAGGAUUAGAUACCCCAGUAGUC